rnacentral:misc_RNA from 1 species
UUCAAGUCCUCCCAGGCCCACCAAUUUAGGAUUGCUUAACCCACUAAAGACCCUCUCUAUAAGAAAAAUAUCUCUCGUUGGAGAAAGCUCUUUAUAGUCUAGAAUUAUCAAUAAAGUGUUCGGUAAAAUAUCAAAUAUAUUUUGCGAAAAUACUAGCAAUAAUAAAGCUCUUGAUGCAAUAAUAAGGCUCUUGAUAAUGUAAAGCUACUGACGGACUGUCGCUUUAAGGGUUUUGAAGCGUUUUCUUUUAGGGGCCGUAGCUCAG